CCGGUUUGGUCGCCAUCAAGGCGUGAAAAGGGAAUGCCGUGAGAGUCGGCAACAGUCCCGCUGCUGUAAGUCUGUUAUGACGGAGUUUCCACCCAUGUGUCACUGUGCUGCCCUGCAGCAUGGGAAGGCCCGAAACCCGCAAGACAAGUCAGAAGACCUGCCAAGCCAUA
rnacentral:ncRNA from 1 species